rnacentral:rRNA from 1 species
UACGGAGGGUGCAAGCGUUAUCCGGAUUCACUGGGUUUAAAGGGUGCGUAGGUGGGUUGGUAAGUCCGUGGUGAAAUCUCCGAGCUUAACUCGGAAACUGCCGUGGAUACUAUCAAUCUUGAAUACUGUGGAGGUAAGCGGAAUAUGUCAUGUAGCGGUGAAAUGCUUAGAUAUGACAUAGAACACCGAUAGCGAAGGCAGCAUACUAAGGAGUAACUGACGCUGAGGCACGAAAGUGUGGGGAUCAAACAGG